GUAUUUGAAGCUUUGAAGAAGCAUCGGUCUUGUAAGCCGAAGAUGGGUUAUUUCCCAAAUGCU
rnacentral:tRNA from 1 species